rnacentral:rRNA from 1 species
UGGGGAAUAUUGGACAAUGGGCGAAAGCCUGAUCCAGCCAUGCCGCGUGUGUGAAGAAGGUCUUCGGAUUGUAAAGCACUUUAAGUUGGGAGGAAGGCCAGUAAGCGAAUACCUUGCUGUUUUGACGUUACCGACAGAAUAAGCACCGGCUAACUCUGUGCCAGCAGCCGCGGUAAUACAGAGGGUGCAAGCGUUAAUCGGAAUUACUGGGCGUAAAGCGCGCGUAGGUGGUUCGUUAAGUUGAAUGUGAAAGCCCCGGGCUCAACCUGGGAACUGCAUCCAAAACUGGCGAGCUAGAGUAGGGCAGAGGGUGGUGGAAUUUCCUGUGUAGCGGUGAAAUGCGUAGAUAUAGGAAGGAACACCAGUGGCGAAGGCGACCACCUGGGCUCAUACUGACACUGAGGUGCGAAAGCGUGGGGAGCAAACAGG